rnacentral:lncRNA from 1 species
UUAUCGCUGUGCAUAAAUUCCAGCGAUUCCGGGAAGUAAAAUCAGUCAUCGGAACCCUUUUCAGGCGAAUUUUUCAAGUAAAAUCAGUCUCGGUCAGUGUUGUGCAAAAUCCAGCAAUACCAAAAAACUCGCCUCUGUCCGGCGACAGAACCCCAGAAAUUUCUCCGGCCAAAUCAGCCCCACGCGCCGCCAGAACCUUAGGCGCAUGAGCCCACGUCCGGCCAGAUUUUCCGGUGACUCCUUCAGGACAGUUUGGUCGGAUACUAAUUCCGACCCUAC